GUGGGGAAUAUUGGACAAUGGGGGGAACCCUGAUCCAGCCAUGCCGCGUGUGUGAAGAAGGCCUUUUGGUUGUAAAGCACUUUAAGCGAGGAGGAGGCUACCGAGAUUAAUACUCUUGGAUAGUGGACGUUACUCGCAGAAUAAGCACCGGCUAACUCUGUGCCAGCAGCCGCGGUAAUACAGAGGGUGCAAGCGUUAAUCGGAUUUACUGGGCGUAAAGCGCGCGUAGGUGGCCAAUUAAGUCAAAUGUGAAAUCCCCGAGCUUAACUUGGGAAUUGCAUUCGAUACUGGUUGGCUAGAGUAUGGGAGAGGAUGGUAGAAUUCCAGGUGUAGCGGUGAAAUGCGUAGAGAUCUGGAGGAAUACCGAUGGCGAAGGCAGCCAUCUGGCCAAAUACUGACACUGAGGUGCGAAAGCAUGGGGAGCGAACAGGAUUAGAUACCCCAGUAGUCC
rnacentral:rRNA from 1 species